CAGGUCCACUCUCCACUCUCAAAUAGUGGCCCGAAUUUUUUCUUUUUUUUUUUUUUUACAUCUUAUCUCUACACCAACCACUUUUUUGGCAUGGCCCGUGACAUUGGACUUGGAGCAUCAAACGCGUCUUUUUGAAACUGGUGUUGAGAGGUUAACAAAAGCACUUUGCUAGUUUGCUUUCUUUGCCUAUAUUAACACCAUCUAGAAAGCCAUCGUCUUCAACCGCUCCUGUCUGUGGUGUGUAAUAGAUGAGAGAAACGGAGAGUCUUAGCAAGUCUUUGGAGAUGGGAGAGUAUGCAAGAAGGAAAAAUUCAUGAUUUAAUAUCUCUUCUUGCCUACUCCUCCCAUUCCAUCUGCUUUCUGCGACUCCUCUCUUUCCUUAUUCUAGACAAAAGCGUGAUCUAAAAUUAAUCAAGGAGCAAGAGGGAAAGGAAAGAGGGUUGCUGGGAGUUACGGGUAUGGGAGGAUUGGACAGUAUGGUUUGGUUUUAAGUAACCAGAGUCUAUUCUUUCCAACGCCUCCCAUACCAGUGAUCUCCAGCUGCUUCCUCCCUUUCCCUAGCUUGUCCUGCUUCCGAUCCUCCAGUUUGGUAAGAUCUGUCCUUGUAUGCUUGUCGUUCGUCACAUGAUGAUGAUGGUGAUGAUGCGUGUUCUUCUUUUUCAUAUUGACUGGUUUAUUUUGCUCUUACGCGGGAUAUUGUUAUAUGUCUUGUAUAAUGAUUUUAUUUGCCCCUUCUUUAUGAUCGGCUGACAAAAGGGAGUUGUUGGUUAUGGAAUAUCGUUGAAAAGACGAGAGGAAGUUUUGAUCUGCUGGUAGAUCUGAGCAAAUCAUUUGUCAAUCUAGCUAUAUUUAGUGUUAGCAACUGAUAAAUCAUGUGUUUUGAAAUGACAGCAGUGAUAUUCACGACAUAUCUGAUAGGGCCUCCUCGAUUCCGGGGAUGUUGUCUCAGUUUCUUACCGCAGUGCUUAGCUCCGAUGUUCCGUGGUUGGUUAUUUGAAUUUGGAAUUUAUUUCGAGCAGUUGUCCACGCGUUUCGUUUAUCAUGGAUGACCCCAACAUGAGUCAUCCACCCGUCGCAUACGGGUGUGGUCAGCUUUGUUU
rnacentral:sRNA from 1 species